GGUCCUCUCGCGUCAUGACCGUGGUUAGCCUAUUGGCAACGCCCCUGGGCUAUAAAAACAGGAGCGUAUGCGUCACCUGGGAUGCGUCACUUGGGGGACUGCUGCGUCGUUAACGCGAUCCCGUCACUUCCGGAAUUGGCUGUGUAUUCUCGAGACGGUAAGGAACGGAUGCACUGUUAGUUAUUUUGUUUAUGUGUGUUUGGUUAUGAGAAGCACACCCUCUGUUUAAUAUGCUUUAGAGUUGCUGAUUAGUUUGGCAAGUGCUUCCGCAUUGAUACUGCGUUCAUCUUGGCGAGUGCUUCCGCAUUGAUACUGCGUUCAUCACAACGGUCUAUUCAAAGAGUGUCUGUACAAAGAGUGGAAAAGCUGUGCUAUUUUGAUAGCUGCUGGCAUAUUGUGUCUACCUUCAUUCUCAGCUGUGAGAUCUGAUGCGAGUGCGGAAUUAAGGUGCUCCGUAAGGGCAGCUGUUGAAAGCAACUAUUGCUGUCUGUUCGUCAUAAUUAACCCUGUGUUGAUCGGUAGGUAUUUAUGCAUGCAACCAUUAGGAUGAGAGUGAUUUAAUUCCAACAGAGUUAUAGUCUUGUUUUGUUUAUAGGUUUGGGGACUAUCUGGGUCGGGGUGCUCUCUGUCCAUUUACAGCUGCAGUGCUGUCCUGUUUCCAAAGUUUUAUUUUUAUUUGACUUUUCCUUUUGGGUUAUGCUGCUUUGUUUUUGAUUUAUAUAGUUUGAUUCUAAAGUUGAUUAUUUUGGGUUCUACUUGAAUUAUAUUUGUGAUUUGUCCUUAUUUACUUUAUAUUUAAUUAUUUUUGAUUUACAUUUUGAUUUAUAAUUUUUUACUAGUGAAUUUGUUUCUCUUGAUUUCUCAUUGAUUUAUUUAGUUGUGUGUUUUACGCAACCAUUUAUUUGUUGAUUUAUUGGUUGCAAAAGUUGAUUUAUUUCAAUGUAAUUGGGUCUCAUAACCCAGCUCCUGAGGUGAAUCUAUUUGAUGCAUUUUUCUUGUCUUGGCAGGGCUUGAGCACCAGGGGUACAGGACUAGCUUUGGUGGCGGUAGAUUCUUCACAGUGCGUGUGGUUAUCACCGUGUGAGUGUGCGUGUGUGUGUGUACACAGUGAAAUGCAGUGGAAUGCAGUGAUUCACGGACCGGUGGUGCGAUCUGAUUAUUAGCUGCCCCAUACUGGGCUUGAGCACCAGGGGUACAGGACUAGCUUUGGUGGCGGUAGAUUCUUCACAGUGCGUGUGGUUAUCACCGUGUGAGUGUGCGUGUGUGUGUGUACACAGUGAAAUGCAGUGGAAUGCAGUGAUUCACGGACCGGUGGUGCGAUCUGAUUAUUAGCUGCCCCAUACUGGUAAGCUCCAGCCCCUGGCCUGACAUUUGCUAUAACCCCUAAUCCAUCGGGUUGAAAAAUGUUGUUUUUUAUCUUUAUCCUGCUUUUAAUCAAGAUUUGUUAAUAAAGACUAUUUUUGUAUUGUUACCCAUGUCUCUGGCUCUAAUUGGUGAUAUGAACUUGCGUAUGCCCUUGUACAUGAUUUAAUUAAAUUCUGUGGGCGAAAUUCCCAUGGUGGCGUAGUUGGCUAUCUUGUUUGAUUCUUACCUUUUCAAAAUAAAAGUCUCCUUGUACCCCACG